CUCCAGUUUAUCAUCGACAGAAUCAAGGCAAGGCUUGCGGGCUGGAAGGGAAAACUUCUUCCGAUGGCCGACCGCCGCGUCCUCGUCCGAUGUGUGCUGAGUGCCAUGCCAACCUUCGCCCUCACCGUCCUCCGUGUCCCAAGGAAAAUUCUCAAGGAGAUCGAUAAGUGCAGGCGACGUUUCCUCUGGUGCCAGGACGACGAGAUUUCGGGUGCCAGCUGCAAGGUCAACUGG
rnacentral:rRNA from 1 species